UUUUGACUUUGUAAAAACUUUUGGCAUAUGAGUUGUAUAUUUCAUGUAGUCAAACAGUAAUCUUUUCCUUUAUGGAUUCCAAUUUUUAAAUGGUUUAUAUUUUUAGCUAAAUUUUCAGGAGUGAAAAGAAAAAGAGGAAGGAAGAAACCCCUCUCAGGCAAUCAUGUACAGCCACCCGAAACAAUGAAAUGUAAUACAUUCAUAAGACAAGUGAAAGAAGAGCAUGGCAGACACACAGGUUUGCGCUAAGUGUUGUCUGUAACAAAUAUGGCCUACAAUACUUAUAAAAAUGUCAACCCACCUGUUUCAAACUUGGUAUCCCGCCUAAAUCUUUAUUCUUCUAGGCUUGUGGUAAUUAAUGAGUAUAAAUCUUUAUCGCAACUGUCCACUCUAUUGUAAUCCCAGCAUAUCAAGAUAACUUAGGUUGGAAUGGUCCAUUGCAUUCAGUAUUAAGAAAAGAUAGACUUCUAUUAAUAAAGACACAGACAGGCUUGCCUGAGCUCAGAAUCCAGCAAUGUGUCACCCCUCACACUGUGACCCCUGUAACUGUAGUUCUCUGUUCUUUAAAGAAAUAGACAUUCCACUAACAACACAUACAAACUGUGACAAGAAGUGACAGGGGCUGUUAUGUCAAAGACUUAAGGGUAAUUUUUAAAAAUCCUCUUAAUUCAACUACAUAUCGGGUACAGUGUACACUGCUCAGGUGACAGGUGCACCAACAUCUCAGAAAUCACCACUGAAGAACUUAUCCAUGUAACCUGAAACCACCUGUUCCCCAAAAGGUAUUGAAAUUUAAAAAGUUACAGUUUUAUAUGUUUAAAAAAGCCUCUUAAUUCAUAUAGUUAUUGUAAGCAGAGAAAUUUUCAUUUUUACUUUUUGUAACAUUUUAUUCAUUGUUUCAGCUGGCCAAAAAAAAUGAGGUAUGAUGAAAUUAUAAUUAAUAAAAAGGGUGAAGGUGCUGUAUUAUUUUACUAAGUAUGUGCAUCCACCACUAGGCAAGGUCUGAAGAAAUAAGCAUAAAGUAAUUUAUGAUUAGCUGCCCUAAGACUAUUUCCUUCUCAAAUGUUUGUCUUAUUC
rnacentral:lncRNA from 10 species